CGGGCUCGUGUGGGGGAUGUGGAAGGUGAGGCUCGAGUGCAGACACUAUUCAAGUGUGGGCGGGGGGAGCGGGAGUGACAGAAGAGAGUGAGCACGGUUGCGCCUGUACGAGGAUAACGUACUUGCUCAAGUGUGCUCACUCUCUUCAUGUCGCGCCUCUCCCUCGUCGUUGUGACGUCAUUUGUGAUGAGAGGGUGGGGAGGGGGGUGUGUGAGGGAGGAGGAGGGGAGGUGAAGGGUGUGGUGAGCAUGUGGGGGAAGUUGAUGGUGAUAAGUAGGUGUGGAAUGUUACAAGUGUGAUUAAAAAAUCGUGCGCAGCAUAUGUGACAAGUAUGAAGGUGACGGGUAACAUCAAUACACAGUGCCGGCACAUGAUGUGUAACGGUUGCUGGAGAACGUGCGCGUGAUCGACUGCAGCAAAAGCUAUCGCAGAGAAUGGUCGGUGCACUGCCUGGUUUGCUUCAUGCUUACUUCUUGGGAUGUUACGUUUUGCCACGCAGCUCUAGGUCGCACGAUAUCGUCGAGAUUAUUACGGAAAUGUGUCUUUCGAUGCUGCUGAACUUUCAAGGGUGCAACAUCACCGAUUGUUGGCCUCAGGUGAACCUGUACAAUGAUGACAUCAUACAACGCGGAACAAGUGAGAAACGUCCUGCGCCUGUUCGGCGAUCGGCGAUCUGGUUGUGUUGGGAACACGAUUAGUAUCUACACGAAUGAUCCGAUCAGCAUUUCUAUAACUGGAGUUGAAGUUCAUGUGCAUUCUACUCAUUCGCCAUGUAAAAAACCUGUGCAAAUCGAGAUUCUUGUUCCAGCUUGUCCCUCGCCGAACCAGCGAAUCAUCUUAGUAUCUGUGUGACCAAACAGACAGAACGGAGGCACGCAGAUUCACCUGAACGGACGGCGUCUAGAUUUAAUGUUUGCUACAUCGGUACUCUGACUUCGGCGUUGGUCAAGGAGUCUCAAACUGAAAACAGAGAAUCGAAUAAUCAAUACUCUCUCUCUGCGAAUCUAAGACGUAGAUGUUCUCGAAUCAGUCAUCUGGAGUGUUUUUCUGGCAGCAAGAGAGACCUAUAGUUGACAGGAAUUAUUGUCAGUUGCAUGCAGGAGCUGCAUUCACUUACCCAAAGAUCGUCGAUGACAUGUCAAUCAUUGUCGACAAGUUUUGCAUGUGACAAAACGUCUUAACCGCUGAAACAUGAACAUCUAACAGUUCAUGUUUCAACUAGCAAGCUGCCAAUUUCAAUCGCUUGAACUUGAUGUUCUAGACGUAUUUGUGAAGGAAUUUUGUAUGGAGUCGUUCAAGAACUGUAUGCCGUACCCUCGCCUUCAUUCCGGAAGACAGUGCAGAUACCCUUGAACGUCGUUGUAUAUCCUCUACGCGGAACUAAUAUUUGUUGCAGUAUUUGGACUUAUUUCAAAGCGUCGUUGUACUUCAAGUAUUUCUAAGAGAAUUGCAAUGACAGGGAGUCCACAAAGGAGCAACUGGGAUGUUGCAUUCUGCGACAGUUGGAAUACUAAUCUGUGUGACUAUUCCGACUAUGGCACAUGAAGUCGAGCGGCUGGAAUGACUUAUUGACGUGAAGCAAGGUUGCUUGUAUAUGAAAUGCUAGUUGAAAGCUAACUCAUAUAUAUGAAAGCCUCACUACAAAAUGUGUGCGAAGACAUGUUGGAUAGGAUCUGACUCUACCUCAGAUCUAUAUGUAAAGUCCCACAGGCAAUCAACUACAAAUUAGACAAACAUCUACUUCCUGUGAAUACUGCUACACUGCUGAAGCGAAAAAGAGCUCAAAGAUGCGAAAUCUUCCCUAUUUUGAGCUUGUACAUGUAAUUUCCCAUCAAUUCAUGUAAGCGGCAGGGUUCUAUUUCCAUUCAAGGUAUUUGGUGUUGGCGUAAGUUACAGCAAAGUCACGAGUGAAGACUUCAUCAUGAUCUGGGUAAUGUAGAUCGGAUCAACUUGAAAAAAGUACUCAACGAUUAACGGAGUCUACAACUUGUAUGUUGCGCAAAUUCAGGAUCAUAAUGAUCAAAAUGCUGGUACGCAUUGAAGUGAGUCUAGUUGCUUUGUUCAGCACCGUAAUGUUCUACCACCGGUUUUGCUGCUGUGAGACUUUCUUCAGUUGUUUCUAUUUCAUUUCCUUUUGCCAAGCACUACUGCGGACCCAUUCCAGUUUCUGAAGAGGUUAAUACCGUCUAAUUCUUGUGAAGUCUUCUCGCUGAUCCUCACUGUGUUAAAGUUCAUACCUUUUCGGUUACUGUUCCGACUCGACUGUUCGGUUAAGUCUAUGUUAAGAUAUAGUGAAUCAUGUCGGUUACUAUAAUCUCAUGCAGCCAUAAAUUCAUUUAUGACUAUGAAAAUACGUAAGUCGUUCUGGAACGGUUUGAGUCUCAUUCCUAAGGCAACAGCGGCCGCUGCAGUCUCAUGUGAUUCAUUAUGGAAGCAUCAAAAUAAUUGAAAGAUAUGAGUCAGUUCUAUGCUGACAUGAAGCCUCGAGAGAUCACGUCACAAUCUUCAGUUAUGACAUCGAUGAAAUGUACAUCUAGAAAAAACAUUCUUCAGGUCUUUGCAGAACUUGUCAUGCCGAUGGCUGCACAGGAGCCACAAGGACAUUCUGCACUAAAAAACUUCCUGCAUUUGAGGAUGACCUUGUCAAGCUAACUUUUGAUCUUAUGGCGCUGUGGUGGACCAACCUUUGAGUACGUAAUCCUCUAAGCUGUAACCAGGACACUUAGGUUGAACCUGUUUACCUUCAUGGAGCAUGGACAGAUUAUUUAGGGAUUGUACUGGCAUUCUGGUGAGAAGGUCAGCUGUAGUACAAGUGAGCUGAAAUAAAGCUUAAUUUAUCAAAUCGUCAUGAAAAUAUGAAGAAAAAUCAGUUGGUAAUUUCUCAGGGGUUGGUUGCUAUCAGAAAUAGGUGGCAACUUUAAGGGCUCUAGCAAGAGAAAAGAAGAGUCAUAGUUUGCUGUAGUUCACUGUAGGUGCCCCUUGACCUUGUUGGCUUUAUCUUUUCCUUUCUUGCAUCUGGAAAAUGCCCUGAAACCCCACUCCUUUCUGCAACCCUGAACUUGCUCACAUGUCAGGUGUUCCAUUUGGUUUUGAAAGGUGAGAGGGUGGAGGUCUCUUGUGUUUGGAUGGUUUGCUUGCACUGAAGGAUGAGGUUUCCAGGCCAACAAGCCUCUCAUUGGGUGCCAGCAUGUCUGCCCAAAAGUCUCAACCUCCAUUGCAGAGAAUUAGGAUUCUAAUUAUUUCUUGUUCGUACCAUUCCCAUGCUUAAUAAAGACUUCAUAUUCUGUGUUGAGGAUUGGUGCUCUCUAAGACAACUUGCUAGGGCAAUGUGGAUUCACCAAGUAUCUUCAAGAGCUACAAUACUCAGGGGAAUGGACUAGAGUCAGUAGAAUAGUCAAGGGAUUAGACUUCCACCUGGUUGUGUUGGAUUGCAACAAGGUGAAAGGAUGAUGAGACCAGGACAAAGUCACUUGCUCCCUAACCAUACAGUACUCACAUGUAUGAGUACUCACAUGAAUGAAUGACAAGAAAAUGUAUCCAUUACUUGCCCCUAUUACACCGGGUAAGGUACAAGAACACUAGCAAAGUGUAUAGAAAGUUAUCUAUGUAGGACUGCCAAAUAUUUGAACCCACAAUUCUUUUGAUAUUUGAACUUCAAGAUAACUUAAUUGACUUAAAUUUAGGGGAAUGUUAAAGUGACCCAAAAUUUUACUAAAGCAA